GGUGGGUUCGUCUAACGGUUAGGACACAUGCCUCUCACGCAUGUAAUACGAGUUCGAUUCUCGUACCCACUACAA
rnacentral:tRNA from 13 species